UACAGAGGUCCCAAGCGUUGUUCGGAUUCACUGGGCGUAAAGGGUGCGUAGGUGGUCGGGUAAGUCUGAUGUGAAAUCUUCGAGCUCAACUCGAAAAUGGCAUUGGAUACUAUUCGGCUGGAGGGUUGGAAGGGGGACUGGAAUUCUCGGUGUAGCAGUGAAAUGCGUAGAUAUCGAGAGGAACACCGGUGGCGAAGGCGAGUCUCUGGACAAUCCCUGACACUGAGGCACGAAAGCUAGGGGAGCAAACAGG
rnacentral:rRNA from 1 species